GUCUCAGUCAUCACAAUUGAGAGAGAGAGAGAGAGAGAGAGAGAGAGAGAGGGGAAGGAUUUCAGGGUUGCAUGGCAUCGGCGGAAAUGAACGAAGGCGGAGGAGAUCAUGUAGUAGAACUUGUAGUAAACGACGGUGUGGCUGAAGGAUCUCCGGAAAUAACUCCUCUGUUGGGCGCUGCGCAGAAGCCUAAGAUUAAUAUCUUCUCUGUAUCUUAUGCUAGGAAAACGCCCAGGGAACAAGUGACAAAGAUAGUUGAAUCGGAGAUCUCAUUAUUUGUUCAGGUUAUUUUGUGGAUAUGGAGUGGAUCUAAGUACUCCGGUUUACUGUGCAUGGCCACAUCCUCUCUCAUCUACUUUAUCAUGGAAAUUCUAUCAGAUAUUUUCCCAGUUCGAUCAGUUCCUUUGUUUGAAAUUAUAUUUACAAGAUGUACAAUUAUCUUGAUCUCAUCAUUUGUGUGGUUGAGAAGGACUGGAUUACCUGUAUUUGGACCAUCUCAUGUGAGGAAGCUUUUGACUUUGAGAGCCUUAGUGGGAUUUCUCUCAUUGUUGAGUUUUGUCUAUUGCAUACAAGCCCUACCUCUGUCUCAAGCCAUUGUAUUGAACUUCACUACGCCAAUAAUGGCUUCAAUUGCAGCAAGAAUCAUUUUGGAUGAGAAGCCGAAAAUCUCAGAUAUUGGAGGUCUGGCUUGCAGUUUUUUUGGCCUUCUAUUCAUUUUCCGACCAAUGCUUAGUACACAAGGAGGAUUAGCAGAAACUGGGGAACCAAGAAAUACAUUUGUUGUCAGAGGGAGCCACCCUUUUUUUGCGGUGUUAGUUGGCUUGUUUUCCUCAGUAACUGGUGGAAUCACCUAUUGCCUUAUACGAGCUGGAGCAAAGGCAUCUGAUCAAGCUGUGGGUACUGUUUUCUCAUUUGGCCUGCUAGCUACCCCUGCUGCAGCAAUUUGUACUUUUGCCUUGCAGGAUUUUGUGUUUCCAGAUUUUUAUUCACUUGUUCACAUGGGAGUACUUGGUGAACUGGCCUUCUUUGCAGAGGUAUUUUUAGCACGUGGACUUCAGCUUGAAAAAACUAGCAAAGUUGCAAACAUCCAGUACAUUGAGGUCUUCCUAUCACAGAUGUGGAGCAUUGGUUUACCAAGUGUAGCUCUGUCUUUUGGUAGAAUUGCUGGAUGUUUGCUCAUCGUGGUUUCAGUAUGUAGCACAGUGUUCUUUGGACCUGAGAAAGAGGUGGAAUGAAGGAUGGCCUACUUUGGUUUUGUUUAGAGGAUAGUACCCUAGUAUACACUGAUGGCACAAGUCUCAUCAAGAAGAUUUUUCUUGUUCUCUCUUGUAAAGGUAAGUGGUUUUUGCUUGAGAUGUCUCUGGCUUCCAAACUUAACAGCAAAGUUUUUUGGCCAAUGUGAAUUGGUGUUUGGAACCUCUGGUGGUGUUUGGAUCUCCAACACUUGAGUUUUAGUCAUGACUGGAAUGUGCCAAGGAUGGAAACCAAGCACAGUUGUUGGUUGAUGGGACUGGGCCCAAGUUACAUCUCACAGUAUAAGACAGUUCAAUGCCAUUUUUAAGUCUCUGGAGAUCGACUGAUGAUCGUGCAUUUGAUUACCCGGUUAUGUUGGAAGAUCAUUCGGGCACUUACAAUCUUUAGACAACUGUGAGUUUCUGCCAUUUUGAAAAAUCAGUAUCUUUUAAGUGUAUGUUGAUGAAAGCACAUGAUCAAGGAAAAAUUACGAGAUGACCGAGGAAAUCAUGCACAUUCUGCAUGUAUUGAAAGCCAUAUAAAGUUAUGCAUUUCCUUAACAUGAAUUAACCCUCACCAAAUGGUUGCUUUCUUAGGUCCCAACUUUCCAGUUCCUAAUUUCUUUUUCUUCUGGCAUGAUUACUGUAUAAAUUGUUGAAACACAUCUUAGAUUGGUGAUAAUGAAUUGCAUGAUCUUAACCAUUCAGCAUGAUUAAAUGAUCC